rnacentral:rRNA from 1 species
AGAUAGGGCUUCUCCUUCGGGAGCAGAGUGACAGGUGGUGCAUGGUUGUCGUCAGCUCGUGUCGUGAGAUGUUGGGUUAAAUCCCGCAACGAGCGCAACCCUUGAUCUUAAUUGCCAUCAUUAAGUUGGGCACUCUAAGGUGACUGCCGGUGACAAACCGGAGGAAGGUGGGGAUGACGUCAAAUCAUCAUGCCCCUUAUGACCUGGGCUACACACGUGCUACAAUGGACGGUACAAAGAGCUGCAAGACCGCGAGGUGGAGCUAAUCUCAUAAAACCGUUCUCAGUUCGGAUUGUAGGCUGCAACUCGCCUACAUGAAGCUGGAAUCGCUAGUAAUCGCGGAUCAGCAUGCCGCGGUGAAUACGUUCCCGGGCCUUGUACACACCGCCCGUCACACCACGAGAGUUUGUAACACCCGAAGUCGGUGGGGUAACCUUUUUGGAGCCAGCCGCCUAAGGUGGGACAGAUGAUUGGGGGUGAAGUCGUAACAAGGUA